AACACGCUCCUUAGAUCCACCUCUGGGGAGUUCCUCCGCUCCGGUUCUGUUGUGUCCUCUCUCUGGGAUCAGCAGGAUCGGUCCCGAGGCUCCCAGCAGCUUCACGGCUGUACAGUUGGAGGUGCUUGAGUCAUUGGCGUGUGAGAUCAGUCUACCUGCUCACCCAGAAUCCUCUCUGCCCUGAUCCUUCACAGGAAAACCCCAGGGCAGAACAGCUGGAGAGCAGACAAC
rnacentral:snoRNA from 1 species